CWKGGGGKKUSGGRAARRAUUCAUCGGUAUGGGAUGGGGUCGCGUCCUAUCAGGUAGUCGGCGGGGUAACGGCCCACCGAGCCUACGACGGGUAGCCGGCCUGAGAGGGCGACCGGCCACAUUGGGACUGAGAUACGGCCCAGACUCCUACGGGAGGCAGCAGUGGGGAAUAUUGCACAAUGGGCGCAAGCCUGAUGCAGCGACGCCGCGUGCGGGAUGACGGCCUUCGGGUUGUAAACCGCUUUUGAUCGGGAGCAAGCCUUCGGGUGAGUGUACCUUUCGAAUAAGCACCGGCUAACUACGUGCCAGCAGCCGCGGUAAUACGUAGGGUGCAAGCGUUAUCCGGAAUUAUUGGGCGUAAAGGGCUCGUAGGCGGUUCGUCGCGUCCGGUGUGAAAGUCCAUCGCUUAACGGUGGAUCUGCGCCGGGUACGG
rnacentral:rRNA from 1 species